rnacentral:rRNA from 1 species
GCGUGGAUUAGGCAUGCAAGUCGAGCGAGAAGCUUUCCUUCGGGAAAGUGGAAAGCGGCGAAAGGGAGAGUAACGCGUGGAUAUCUGCCCCCGGGUUCGGGAUAGCUGCGGGAAACUGCAGGUAAUACCGAAUAACAUCUUCGGAUCAAAGGUGUGAUUCCGCCUGGGGAUGAGUCCGCGUCCUACUAGCUUGUUGGUGGGGUAAUGGCCUACCAAGGCAAUGAUGGGUACCGGGCGUGAGAGCGUGGCCCGGCUCACUGGGACUGAGACACUGCCCAGACACCUACGGGUGGCUGCAGUCGAGAAUCUUCGGCAAUGGACGAAAGUCUGACCGAGCGACGCCGCGUGCGGGAUGAAGGCCUUCGGGUUGUAAACCGCUGUCAGAGGGGAUGAAAUGCUUGAGGGUUCUCCCUCCUGCUUGACAGAUCCUCAGAGGAAGUACGGGCUAAGUUCGUGCCAGCAGCCGCGGUAAGACGAACCGUACAAACGUUAUUCGGAAUCACUGGGCUUAAAGGGUGCGUAGGCGGUGUGGCAAGUUGGGUGUGA